GAUGAACGCUGGCGGCGUGCCUAAUACAUGCAAGUCGAGCGAACGGACGAGAAGCUUGCUUUUCUGAUGUUAGCGGCGGACGGGUGAGUAACACGUGGAUAACCUACCUAUAAGACUGGGAUAACUUCGGGAAACCGGAGCUAAUACCGGAUAAUAUUUUGAACCGCAUGGUUCAAAAGUGAAAGACGGUCUUGCUGUCACUUAUAGAUGGAUCCGCGCUGCAUUAGCUAGUUGGUAAGGUAACGGCUUACCAAGGCAACGAUGCAUAGCCGACCUGAGAGGGUGAUCGGCCACACUGGAACUGAGACACGGUCCAGACUCCUACGGGAGGCAGCAGUAGGGAAUCUUCCGCAAUGGGCGAAAGCCUGACGGAGCAACGCCGCGUGAGUGAUGAAGGUCUUCGGAUCGUAAAACUCUGUUAUUAGGGAAGAACAUAUGUGUAAGUAACUGUGCACAUCUUGACGGUACCUAAUCAGAAAGCCACGGCUAACUACGUGCCAGCAGCCGCGGUAAUACGUAGGUGGCAAGCGUUAUCCGGAAUUAUUGGGCGUAAAGCGCGCGUAGGCGGUUUUUUAAGUCUGAUGUGAAAGCCCACGGCUCAACCGUGGAGGGUCAUUGGAAACUGGAAAACUUGAGUGCAGAAGAGGAAAGUGGAAUUCCAUGUGUAGCGGUGAAAUGCGCAGAGAUGUGGAGGAACACCAGUGGCGAAGGCGACUUUCUGGUCUGUAACUGACGCUGAUGUGCGAAAGCGUGGGGAUCAAACAGGAUUAGAUACCCUGGUAGUCCACGCCGUAAACGAUGAGUGCUAAGUGUUAGGGGGUUUCCGCCCCUUAGUGCUGCAGCUAACGCAUUAAGCACUCCGCCUGGGGAGUACGACCGCAAGGUUGAAACUCAAAGGAAUUGUCGGGGGCCCGCACAAGCGGUGGAGCAUGUGGUUUAAUUCGAAGCAACGCGAAGAACCUUACCAAAUCUUGACAUCCUUUGACAACUCUAGAGAUAGAGCCUUCCCCUUCGGGGGACAAAGUGACAGGUGGUGCAUGGUUGUCGUCAGCUCGUGUCGUGAGAUGUUGGGUUAAGUCCCGCAACGAGCGCAACCCUUAAGCUUAGUUGCCAUCAUUAAGUUGGGCACUCUAAGUUGACUGCCGGUGACAAACCGGAGGAAGGUGGGGAUGACGUCAAAUCAUCAUGCCCCUUAUGAUUUGGGCUACACACGUGCUACAAUGGACAAUACAAAGGGCAGCGAAACCGCGAGGUCAAGCAAAUCCCAUAAAGUUGUUCUCAGUUCGGAUUGUAGUCUGCAACUCGACUACAUGAAGCUGGAAUCGCUAGUAAUCGUAGAUCAGCAUGCUACGGUGAAUACGUUCCCGGGUCU
rnacentral:rRNA from 1 species